rnacentral:sRNA from 1 species
AACGAUACUUCUGUCAAGUCCUAAGUAUCCUAUGGAUGGCAGCCUGGCAAGAUGAUCAGGAGAAUACACCUUUGCCUGGAAGCCGAUGGCAUGGGUUGAUUCU